rnacentral:rRNA from 1 species
AUUGAACGCUGGCGGCAGGCCUAACACAUGCAAGUCGAGCGGAUGAAGGGAGCUUGCUCCUGGAUUCAGCGGCGGACGGGUGAGUAAUGCCUAGGAAUCUGCCUGGUAGUGGGGGAUAACGUCCGGAAACGGGCGCUAAUACCGCAUACGUCCUGAGGGAGAAAGUGGGGGAUCUUCGGACCUCACGCUAUCAGAUGAGCCUAGGUCGGAUUAGCUAGUUGGUGGGGUAAAGGCCUACCAAGGCGACGAUCCGUAACUGGUCUGAGAGGAUGGUCAGUCACAUGGGAAGUUGAACACGGUCAUGACUACUGCGGGAGGGAGCAGAGGGGAAUGGUGGACAGUGGGGGGAAACCUGGUCCAACCGUGCGGGGUGUGGGGAAGAGGUCUUGGGAGUGGAAAGCACUUUAAGUUGGGGGAAAGGGCAGUAACUUAUGACCUUGCUGUUUUGACGUUACCAACAAAAUAAGCACCGGCUAACUUCGUG